rnacentral:sRNA from 1 species
ACCUAGAUUGCGUGAGGGAUAGUAGUGGCAUCCUUUUAUGUAGCUUGCGGAGUAAAAGAUACAGCGAAUAGCCCGAUCAAAA